UAAGGUGUGGCUCUGUGGUAGAGCACUUACCUAGCACGAAUAAGGUACUGGGUUCAAUCCUCAGCACCACAU
rnacentral:tRNA from 1 species